UUAUUCUUUCAUCCCCAUUGUCGUCUUCUUCCUCGAGCUCUCUCCUCUGUUUACAAUAUCAUCCACAUACUGGCGGACGGUGACUUCGCAUUAACAGACAUCGAGACCUCAUCGAGACCUCGAUCUCCACCGGAUUUCGCCUUUCUUCGAUUUCUAGGGUUCCAGGAACUUUGAGAUGAUACAUCGCUAACCAUUGAAUGGCUAAGAUGCAAGGGGUUAACAACAUAGAGCUCUUCUUCUAUCUCAACACCGUUGAAGGCUCUUAUUUUGCAUUCGAAGUAUUUCACUUGUGUUCUACACUUGUUUUGCAUUCAAAGCUGCUAGAGGGAUAAUCCCUAGUACUUCGGCCUAUCCGUUCUUUAAAAUGUAGUAGGGUUAGACGACUAUUCUUUAAGUUUUGUCGAUACGCAUAAUCUAGAAAUUCUUGAAUUCAGGUCAUACCCACAAAUCUAGGGUUCAUAAUUUAGGAACGACCUUCGAUUGCUUCUAUUUCCGACCAAAUCCAAGAAAUUGGGGUAUAUAUUUAAAGUAAUGAACGAAUUGGUUGUUGGUUUUUGUUUGUGCUCUAUAA